AUUGAACGCUGGCGGCAUGCUUUACACAUGCAAGUCGAACGGCAGCGCGGGCUUCGGCCUGGCGGCGAGUGGCGAACGGGUGAGUAAUGCAUCGGAACGUGCCCAGUAGUGGGGGAUAGCCCGGCGAAAGCCGGAUUAAUACCGCACACGACCUGAGGGUGAAAGCGGGGGACCGAAAGGCCUCGCGCUAUUGGAGCGGCCGAUGUCGGAUUAGCUAGUUGGUGGGGUAAAGGCUUACCAAGGCGACGAUCCGUAGCUGGUCUGAGAGGACGACCAGCCACACUGGGACUGAGACACGGCCCAGACUCCUACGGGAGGCAGCAGUGGGGAAUUUUGGACAAUGGGGGCAACCCUGAUCCAGCCAUGCCGCGUGCGGGAAGAAGGCCUUCGGGUUGUAAACCGCUUUUGUUCGGGAAGAAAACCUCUGGGCUAAUACCCCGGGGGGAUGACGGUACCGGAAGAAUAAGCACCGGCUAACUACGUG
rnacentral:rRNA from 1 species